GAUGAACGCUGGCGGCGUGCUUAACACAUGCAAGUCGAACGAUGAUGCCCAGCUUGCUGGGUGGAUUAGUGGCGAACGGGUGAGUAACACGUGUGUAACCUGCCCUUGACUCUGGGAUAAGCCUGGGAAACUGGGUCUAAUACCGGAUACGACCAUCUGGCGCAUGUCAUGGUGGUGGAAAGCUUUUGUGGUUUUGGAUGGACUCGCGGCCUAUCAGCUUGUUGGUGGGGUAAUGGCCUACCAAGGCGACGACGGGUAGCCGGCCUGAGAGGGUGACCGGCCACACUGGGACUGAGACACGGCCCAGACUCCUACGGGAGGCAGCAGUGGGGAAUAUUGCACAAUGGGCGCAAGCCUGAUGCAGCGACGCCGCGUGAGGGAUGACGGCCUUCGGGUUGUAAACCUCUUUCAGUAGGGAAGAAGCGAAAGUGACGGUACCUGCAGAAGAAGCGCCGGCUAACUACGUG
rnacentral:rRNA from 1 species